UAAACCAUAUUUGAGUUGGGAUUAGUGAAAUGGGUCCAGCUUACCCUUGCCUCCUGCUUCUAACUUACAAGGAUAUGCUUUGAUGCAUAGUUUUGUUAACCUUUUCUAGGUGUUAAACUAAGUUCAGGGUUUUCAAGUUUUUGGAGAAAAGUAUCAUUUGCUCUAAGAAUAUGGGGUAAGAAAUGGAAUUGGAAGCCUCUGAUUCCCAGUUUUCCCACUGAAGUAGAAACUCUAAAUAAUUUUAAAUUUUUAAUUAAAGUGGUCAAAAAAAA
rnacentral:misc_RNA from 1 species